GACGAACGCUGGCGGCGUGCCUAAUACAUGCAAGUCGAGCGAAUCAAUGGGAGCUUGCUCCCUGAGAUUAGCGGCGGACGGGUGAGUAACACGUGGGUAACCUGCCUGUAAGACUGGGAUAACUUCGGGAAACCGGAGCUAAUACCGGAUACAUUCUUUUCUCGCAUGAGGAGAGAUGGAAAGAUGGUUCUGCUAGCACUUACAGAUGGACCCGCGGCGCAUUAGCUAGUUGGUGAGGUAAUGGCUCACCAAGGCGACGAUGCGUAGCCGACCUGAGAGGGUGAUCGGCCACACUGGGACUGAGACACGGCCCAGACUCCUACGGGAGGCAGCAGUAGGGAAUCCUCCGCAAUGGACGAAAGUCUGACGGAGCAACGCCGCGUGAGCGAAGAAGGCCUUCGGGUCGUAAAGCUCUGUUGUUAGGGAAGAACAAGUACGAGAGUAACUGCUCGUACCUUGACGGUACCUAACCAGAAAGCCACGGCUAACUACGUGCCAGCAGCCGCCGUAAAAC
rnacentral:rRNA from 1 species